rnacentral:rRNA from 1 species
GGAGACCACUCCGUAAGGCUAAAUACUACUCAGUGACCGAUAGCGCAUAGUACUGUGAAGGAAAGGUGAAAAGGACCCCGGGAGGGGAGUGAAAGAGAACCUGAAACCCUGUGUUUACAAGCUGUCGAAGCACGAAAGUGCGACGGCGUACUUUUUGUAGAACGGUCCGGCGAGUUAUGAUGAGUGGUAAGGUUAAGGACUUAAGGUCCGGAGCCGAAGCGAAAGCGAGUGUUAAAAGCACGGUUGAAUCGCUUAUCAUAGACCCGAAACCGGGUGAUCUAUCCAUGUCCAGGUUGAAGCUGCCGUAAGAGGUAGUGGAGGACCGAACACACAUCCGUUGAAAAGGGUGGUGAUGAGGUGUGGAUAGGGGAGAAAUUCCAAUCGAACCCGGAGAUAGCUGGUUCUCCUCGAAAUAGCUUUAGGGCUAGCCUCUGGUUAGUCUGCCGCAGGUAGAGCACUGAAUUUCCUAGGGGGCGUCAAAGCCUACCGAAGAAUAUCAAACUGCGAAUGGCGGACAGAUGAUGCCAGGGAGUCAGACUGCACGAGAUAAGUUGGGUGGUCAAAAGGGAAAGAGCCCAGACCUACAGCUAAGGUCCCAAAGUGUGUGUUAAGUGGAAAAGGAUGUGGGAUUUCGAAGACAACUAGGAUGUUGGCUCAGAAGCAGCCACACAUUAAAAGAGUGCGUAAUAGCUCACUAGUCGAGAGGUCCUGCGCCGAAAAUGUCCGGGGCUAAAACACAACACCGAAGCUUAGGAAUUCUAAUGAAUUGGUAGAGGAGCAUUGAAGACGGAACGAAGCCAUACCGAAAGGAAUGGUGGACUGUCUUGAAGAGAGAAUGCCGGAAUGAGUAGCGAGAUUGAAGUGAGAAUCUUCAAGGCCGAAUAUCUAAGGUUUCCAGGGUAAAGCUGAUCUGCCCUGGGUAAGUCGGGGCCUAAGGCAAGGUCGAAAGACGUAGUCGAUGGAUAACAGGUUGAAAUUCCUGUACUGCAUCAAAUCAGAAAUGUGGGGACACAUGAGGGAAGCAUGAGCCGGAAAAGGAAAGUCCGGUACAAGCGCAGCAGAGGACAGAUAGGCAAAUCCGUCUGUCAACUCGAGGGCGCGAUGUGGAGCGAACCAAAGUAGCGAAGCAUGUGGAGCUUGUGUCGAGAAAAGCCGCUAUAGUGUUUGAUGUACCCGUACCGUAAACCGACACAGGUGGAUGAGGAGAGAAUCCUAAGGCCGGCGGGAGAAGCAUUGUUAAGGAACUCGGCAAAAUGACCCCGUAACUUCGGGAGAAGGGGUGCUCCAGAGAUGGAGCCGCAGAGAACUGGCCCAAGCAACUGUUUAGCAAAAACACAGGUCUAUGCAAAACCGAAAGGUGAGGUAUAUGGGCUGACGCCUGCCCGGUGCUGGAAGGUUAAGAGGAGAUGUUAAUCGCAAGGUGAAGCAUUGAAUUUAAGCCCCAGUAAACGGCGGCCGUAACUAUAACGGUCCUAAGGUAGCGAAAUUCCUUGUCGGGUAAGUUCCGACCCGCACGAAAGGCGUAAUGAUUUGGGCACUGUCUCGACAAUGCAC